GAAGCCGAGGCAUAAAGAGGUGAAGCAACCAACCCCCAAGUCCACAGCUAUGAAGUUGCAGAAGCAGCACUGAAUUCAGGAAGUCUGGGCGAAGCAUUGGAAUCAUGCGACACAGUCCUCUCAGCUGGUCUGGUGAUGAACGUGUGUUGCCCAUGACUGUCCUUGAGACAGUCAGUUGAUGCAAUCUGGACUGGAAGCCUGGAAAGUCUCCAAGGGCAGAGACCAAAACCCAGACAUCUUACUUCUUCUGCUCCCUGCUGAGAUACAGAGCACAGAAUGGAAUCCCAGUAGGUAGCUCAGGAGAUAAGCACACGUCAUGGCAUCACACUCUCUGUGUCUAAGGUCUUCUCCACCAAGUAUUGAAGCAUGUACAACUUUAAACAACUUACCUUCUCUGGAGCUGGAUAAUGCAAUUUCCCUUAUGAGACUGUGGCGUCGAAUGGUUUGACAUGUGUAAAAUAAUUCACAGUGCCUGGCACAUGCAAGGUGCCAAGCAAAUA